AGUGAACGCUGGCGGUAGGCCUAACACAUGCAAGUCGAACGGCAGCACAGUAAGAGCUUGCUCUUACGGGUGGCGAGUGGCGGACGGGUGAGGAAUACAUCGGAAUCUACUUUUUCGUGGGGGAUAACGUAGGGAAACUUACGCUAAUACCGCAUACGACCUACGGGUGAAAGCAGGGGAUCUUCGGACCUUUCGCGAUUGAAUGAGCUGAUUUCGGAUUAGAUAGUUGGCGGGGUAAAGGCCCACCAAGGCGACGAUCCGUAGCUGGUCUGAGAGGAUGAUCAGCCACACUGGAACUGAGACACGGUCCAGACUCCUACGGGAGGCAGCAGUGGGGAAUAUUGGACAAUGGGCGCAAGCCUGAUCCAGCCAUACCGCGUGGGUGAAGAAGGCCUUCGGGUUGUAAAGCCCUUUUGUUGGGAAAGAAAAGCAGCAGGUUAAUACCCCGCUGUUCUGACGGUACCCAAAGAAUAAGCACCGGCUAACUUCGUG
rnacentral:rRNA from 1 species